UACGUAGGGUGCGAGCGUUGCCCGGAUUUAUUGGGCGUAAAGGGCGCGCAGGCGGCUACGCACGUCCGUUGUGAAAUCGCUCGGCUCAACUGGGCGGGGUCAGCGGAUACGGCGUAGCUGGAGCAAGCUAGGGGGCAAUGGAAUUCCCGGUGUAGUGGUGGAAUGCGUAGAUAUCGGGAAGAACACCAAUGGCGAAAGCAGCUCUCUGGGACGGUACUGACGCUGAGACGCGAAAGCGUGGGGAGCGAACAGG
rnacentral:rRNA from 1 species